rfam:Folsomia candida strain VT population Fcan01_Sc040, whole genome shotgun sequence.
CUCGUGAUAGCUCAGUUGGUAGAGCGGAGGACUGUAGUUGGGUUAAAAUGGCAGAGAUCCUUAGGUCACUGGUUCGAAUCCGGUUCGCGAGA